rnacentral:rRNA from 1 species
UACGUAGGGUGCAAGCGUUAAUCGGAAUUACUGGGCGUAAAGCGUGCGCAGGCGGUUCCGCAAGCCAGAUGUGAAAUCCCCGGGCUUAACCUGGGAAUGGCAUUUGGGACUGCAAGGCUGGAGUUUGGCAGAGGAGACUGGAAUUCCUGGUGUAGCAGUGAAAUGCGUAGAUAUCAGGAGGAAUACCGAUGGCGAAGGCAGGUCUCUGGGCUAUAACUGACGCUCAUGCACGAAAGCGUGGGGAGCAAACAGG